rnacentral:rRNA from 1 species
UACGAGGGGAGCAAGCGUUGUUCGGAUUUACUGGGCGUAAAGGGCGCGUAGGCGGUCGUGACAAGUCACUUGUGAAAUCUCCGGGCUUAACUCGGAACGGUCAAGUGAUACUGUCGGACUAGAGUACAGAAGGGGCAACUGGAAUUCUCGGUGUAGCGGUGAAAUGCGUAGAUAUCGAGAGGAACACCUGCGGCGAAGGCGGGUUGCUGGGCUGAUACUGACGCUGAGGAGCGAAAGCGUGGGGAGCGAACAGG